GUUUUAUAUAAAUACUAUGGAUCAUUCUGCUAAGCUUCUCAACUAGUAUGAAUCGGAAUAGCUUCUUUGAGGUACAUGGAGCUAUGCAGUUCACACUAGUUGAGAAUCUGGCCCAGAGUGUCUGUAGGCUACUGUGACUGGCAGCAUUUUGAUGGUGAAGCAGAACUAUUAAUAGAGCUGUUUCUCCUUUCUACAAUGAAUAAUUCAGUAUUAUCAACCCCAAGGAAGAAUAAUAAUAAUAAUAAAUCAUGAAGUGAAGCUAGAACUCCUGAGAUUAAGCCAGAUUUCAAGUUUCUUGUUUUUAAUUUUAUUUCCUUAUAUUUUUUGAACACUUAGGGCCAUCUUUUCAAGGUUUUUCUCUGCAAGUAUAAAGGCUGAAAAUGUACUGUUUGUAAUGAAAGCUGAGUAUGAGUUUUAAUGAAAGCUAUAGAAACUGAAGGACUCCAGGAACCGGGUAUUAGGAAAACCACCAAAUACCAUGAAACUUGAAAUAAUAUCACAAGGAUUGGCAGCACUGAUAAUGAUGGGCACAAGGAGAGGAAGUGAUUGGGUAUCAGGUCACCUGACAGGCCCGUGGCAUAGUCAGGAACAACACCCAGAUCUUCACCCAGUGCUGUGUCCUUUUGAUGACGGCUCUCCAGAACCACAACAAAAAAAAGUCCAGGGGUGGGAUGCUGCAUGCCAGACCUGACGCCCAGGAUAUGCAGCAUCUCAGGUGAUAUUUAGAAAACUUUCUUGGGCGGAACUCAUCGGGGGUGGCAACUAGUCCAGUAAUGAAUGAAGACAGUGAAGAGGAGAG